UGGGAGCUUCCUGAUCCUGGUGCGGCCCCUUCGAUGAGCCCCUCAUGUCAGAGCGGUGAGCGGUCCUGCCCGAGCCUGCACAGCCUCCACCUGUGACUGGGGAAUGUGAACCCCGAUGCCUUUGCUCUAAGCCCAGGACCUCCCCACCCUGUCACUCCUGCGGAAGCUCCCCUCCUGACCCCCCCACCUUCCAUCUCUUUUUCUUGGCUUCCCCUUCUCUGCACCCCCCGAAUCUGAGGCACACUGCAGUUUAUCUAUGAGCUCAGCAGACUCUGUGGGUCUCCAUCAGUCAGGAGCAGCUCCGGCUCGGGAAGCACCACGAAGGGUCCGCACGGAGAGGAAGGGGUUACUGCAGCUCUCUCCUUUCUGCGUUAGGCAACUGCACCGUUGGAAUUUUUCACAGGGAGCGAGUGUAGCCCUCAUGUAACUACACGUCAAAAUUAGCACUGCCAGCGGGUGACCGGGGAGCACCGAAACACGCGUCGUGGUUAUGAUGACAUGGUGGCAUCGCAGAGAGAGGCAGCGCAAGCAGGGGAGGGUCAGAGAGAGAAG